UACGUAGGGUGCGAGCGUUGUCCGGAAUUAUUGGGCGUAAAGGGCUCGUAGGCGGUUUGUCGCGUCGGGAGUGAAAACCAGGUGCUUAACACCUGGCUUGCUUUCGAUACGGGCAGACUAGAGGUAUGCAGGGGAGAACGGAAUUCCUGGUGUAGCGGUGAAAUGCGCAGAUAUCAGGAGGAACACCGGUGGCGAAGGCGGUUCUCUGGGCGUGACCUGACGCUGAGGAGCGAAAGUGUGGGGAGCGAACAGG
rnacentral:rRNA from 1 species